GGGGAUUUAGCUCAGCGGUAGAGCGCUUGCCUAGCGAGCGCAAGGCCCUGGGUUCAGUUCCCAGCUCCA
rnacentral:tRNA from 1 species